CGCCCGAUGCUACGUGUCGCCUCACGGUACACGCGUGACACGGGUCGCGUACGUCGACGUUCGCGGACGGCGUGCACUUCUCCCUUAGUAAUACAUCGCGACCCGUUAGAUGUCGGUCUAAGCGCCGUGCGGGAGUCCGUUCGCCCUCGUGGCGGUCGGACCGUAUCGGUUCUGCCGGCCGGCUGUCUGACGGUAUCAAGACGAAACUCGCACGCGUUCAUACGCGUCCGGCCCGACGCAAAUUAUCUGACGUAUAUUCAGGAGUUCUGCCCGUGUGCGGACUUUUGUGCGUCGGAAUUGUUGUCGCAGCCGUGUGUCUCGGACUGUGUGAGUCUCAGUCUGCGAUGAUUCAGUUUCGGGCACUCGCAGGACCCGUCUUGAAACACGGACCAAGGAGUCUAGCAUGUGUGCGAGUCAUUGAGAUUAUUUUUAAACUGAAAGGCGCAACGAAAGUGAAGGCGUGCGCUUGUCGCGCGCUCAGGGAGGAUGGAACGGGGUACGUCUCCGUUCUCGCACUCCCGAGGCGUCUCGUUUCCAAUCAGUGAAUGCAGGCGCGCUCUGAGCACAGAUGCUGGGACCCGAAAGAUGGUGAACUAUGCCUGGUCAGGUCGAAGUCAGGGGAAACCCUGAUGGAGGACCGUAGCGAUUCUGACGUGCAAAUCGAUCGUCGGAACUGGGUAUAGGGGCGAAAGACUAAUCGAACCAUCU
rnacentral:rRNA from 1 species